UCGCUGUCUCAACAAGACCUUCCCUAACUACCAGCGGUAAGCUGAAGCCAGCUACCGCCAGCUCGCGAGAGUAGACGGUGAAAUUUUCAGGAAAUCUGCAAGCCAGUUAGUAUAUACAAUCAUUAAUUCCCUCCAAGGAGACAGUAGGCAGUGGCUGGAGACAGUUUUGGUUAUCACAGCUGAGAGACUGGUACUCCUGGCGUCUUGUGAGCAGAGGCCUGGGAUACUGCUAACCUCUUACAACGUAUGUGGCGGCCCCCGUACAAAAGAAUUAUGUGGCUGAAAGGUCAAGGGUACUGAGUCAACUGUGAGGAAGACAGAGGAGACUGCGGACUUGCUUCAGGAUUCCCUGCGCUGAGGAACACAGACACUUCAACUGACCUUUACAGCCCAGUGUGGUAAAUGUUAGCAUUGGGGAAAUAUGAAAGAGGUUAUUAAACCCAGGCUUGGAACAUCAGGGAGGACUUCCUGGAGAAAGUAGCUUUGGUGUUAAGACUUCAGGCAGAGGAAGACUGAAUCGGAGAAGGGUGUAUGGGGGAUAGCUUUUAUUAUGGAGCACUUUCUGUGUUUGGAUCACUAUGCUGAGUAUUUUACUAUCUCAUUUAAUCCCUGAAAUGCUUUCCGAGGUUUAUACUAUUGCUAUUUCCAUUUUAUAGCUGGGGCCACUGAAGCCUAGGUAUAUUAAUAACUUGCCUAAAGCCACACAGCUAAGAAAUGUUGAAGCAGGGCUUUGAACCCAGGUCUGUAGAUUCCAAAGCCAGACAGGAAGGGAUUGCUACUUACAGAGGACAAAAGGGUAGACUGGGAAGUUUUUUUAAACACACUUAACCCUUGUGUUAUGAGCUGAUUUAUGUCCCCCCAGAAUUCAUAUGUUGAGGUCCCAACCUCCAGUACCUCAGAAUGUGUCUGUACUUGGAGAGAAGGUCUUUCAAGAGGUGAUUAAGCUAAAAUGUGGCCAUCAGGGUGGGUCCCAAUCCAAUAUGAUGGAUGUCCUUACAAGAAAACGAAAUUUGGACACAGAAAGAGAUAUCAGGGAUGUGCAUACACAGGAAAGACCACGUGAAGACACAGUGAGAAGGCAGCCAUGCGCAAAUGAAGAAGGCGGGCUUCAGAAAAAGCCAAACCUGCUGAGCACCUUGAUCUUGGACUUCUAGCCUGCAGAGCUGUGAGAAAAUGAAUUUCUGUUCUUUAGGACCCCUCAUCUGUGGUAUUUUGUUAUGGCAACCCUAACAAUCAAACUGUCUGAACCACAGGGAAUGAUCAUUGCCCAGCCAGGCAACAUUUGGCCAAUGUUACUGACCCGGGAUACUGUGCAACAGAGCACUGGCACCUCAAGGCAUAGAUCAUGGACAUCUUGGCACCUGCCAGUGUGGAUCCAAGACUGCAGGCAGGGACUGCUAAGAAGUUUUUCUGUACUAUGGACCCUAGAACUGAUACCGCUUCUGUAGGAUGUGGGUGCCUUUAGUACCAAUAAAAGUUGAGACAAAUCUCCCAUUAGCCCAGAGAGACGGACCCAACGUAGACUGAGCUGAACUUAAAGGUAAGAAGAAAUGUGAUAUUUUUUGCACAUCCACACUUGUGCAUUAAGAUUCAAACGGACCACGCUUUAUUUUCAAAACUGGGAUACAGAAAAGCAGGCAGAAGCCAGUUCAAGGCCAACUGAAAUCACUUCUGUCAGCAGGGGAGACAGUGAAUGCAGGAGGAGUAAGCUACCCUGUGUUUUCUUCUGGCUCUGCCGCUGUCUCUUGGCUCUGUUUUGUCUCCUGACUAGACCUAAUUAUGCUUGUCAUCUGCAUCAGAAGGAUGGGGCUAAGAUUAACAGGUUAAUGUGGGUAAAAGCUCUUGGAGCUCAGUAGAUGAAAGGAGAUCUAAUUAGCAAGGCCAGCAAUGACCGCAGGCAGGCCAGUCAGGGCGGACUCCGCCCUUUGUACUCACCAAAGAGCUACUUAUAGCUCCUGGGAGGGGCCUCUGCAAAUUCCACCCAAGCCUUCAGCACUGAGAGAAGAACCUUCCACGUUUUCUCCUUGCCCUAGGAUUUUGUGAUUCUUCGUGGGUGGAGCAAAACGUGCACUCCUCUGAACAACUGAGGAAAAGGAUCAACUCUCAUUUCUUUUUUCUCAAGGCAGGGUGAUCUACACAAAUAGGGGUUAAUGAUGCACAGGGAGGCAAGCAGAGCAUAGAGGUCAAGUGAGUUCAGCCGUGGCAAGAGAUGGAUGAAGGUUCAAAUCCUAACUGCCAUUUACUGAUAUGAGAAUCGAGGCAAAACACUCAAUACCCUUGAGACUCUGGUUCUUCCUUUGUUCACAUGAGGAUAAUACUUCCUACCUCCAAGUUCUAAGGCUUAGAUUGUUCAUGCUGGACGCCAAAAGCACAUGUUUUAAUUAACACUAAUCAAUAAUAGUAGCGCCUGCUACAUAAUAGCUGCUUGAAAAAUUGGUUGGAUUGAACUCUUUCAUCCGACAAAUACUGACUUAUCUACUGUAGGCCAGGGAAAAUGGGUGUUGCACACCCUGGGUAUACAGUGAUGAACCACAGACACAGUUCUGUCCUCACAGAGCUAAUGUGUCUAUCAGAUGACAGCCUCUCUCAGCUCUCAAAUUUUCCCUCCAUGUUGUCCUUCUACUCCUAAAAGGCGUCACUUGAGAACUUUUUUUAAAUAAAAAAAAAACCCUAAAACCUGUUCACAGGUUUCUUUUCCUAAAAGAAAAAGGCUGUUGAUUCCACUCUAAGAGUUAAAGGAGAUUAUUAGUUUGGGGUACCCAGAUGAGCCAAGAAUUUUAAAUGCCAGACUCAGUCUUUUAACCUUUUCCCUUUAGCUCUGUGGCGUAUUCCCCAGAGUUGAGUUGCUAUUUUACCUGUUAUAUAAAUGGCAGCCUGGCAGGAGUAGAACUGGGGGGAAGAGACUGUAAGAAAGACUGGUUCUCAUUGGCCCUUCUCCUUCCGGGCACUCACUUAUCACACCUCCCCUGACACUGGUUGGUGUAAAUAUUUAGUUAAUGGCUGUGCCCCACACUGCACAGUGACCUACAGGAGGACAGGGACCCCGAUGCUGUGUCCUGGUUGAACCUCCAGGCUGGCGCUGCCCUCUCUGCGUGUGCUGUGGCAGGCAGCCUUCCCUGGAAUUACCCUGCAGCCACCCUGAGAAGUGGCGCUCUGAUCGCGCACCUUUUGUGCAUAUGGAAUAGGAGGCACAGCAGGGUUCAUGACUUGCUGCAAUUCUACAGCUAGUGAGCUGCAGAGCCACGCCUCAGACCAUACAGUCAGGCUCCAGAGUCCUCACGCUCACCCCUUCCACCAUGCUGACAGAUACUUGACAGAUAUUUGGAGGGUAGGGAUAGGGAGGGGACAGGCUGGCUGGACAGAUGGGUGCUUGGGUGCAGCAGGGGCCACAUUCCAGGUCUGUGGGCUUCAGCUGCUGAGCUCCAGAACUGCCCCAAGAAGAGAAUAUGGUGCAGGCUGGUCUCUCUACGGAUGAGCUGGAUCACCUUGGGCAAGUUACUUCCUAUUUUAAGCCUCAGCUUGCUCUUCUGCAAAAUGGUGAUUUAAAAGAAACAAACCAGUAAAUCAAAACCACGGUAAGAUAGCACUUCACGCCAAUUAGGAUGGCUACUCCUUUUAAAAAAGAAAAGAGAAACAAAAUAACAAGUGUUGGCAAGGAUGUGAAGAAGUUGGAACCCUUGUGCAGUGUCAGUGGGAAUGUAAAGUGGCACAGCCAACUGUGGAAAAGAAUUUGGUGAUUGUGCCAAAAAACUAAAAUAGAAAUACCAUACGAACCAGCAAUUCCACAUCCGGGUAUAUACCCAAAAAAGCUGAAAGUAGAGUUUCAAAAAAGGUAUCAGUACACCUAUAUGUUCGUAGCAGCAUUGUUUAUAAGACCACAGGUGGAAGUAACCCAAGUGUCCAUCAAAGAUGAACAGAUCAGCAGCAUAUGAUAUAUACAUACACCAGAAUAUUAUACAGCCUUGAAAAGGAAGGACACAUGCUGCAACAUGGAUGAAACUUGAGGAUAGUAUGCAAAGUGAAAUAAGGCAGUCACAAAAGGACAAAGACGACAUGAUCCCACUCAUAUGAUGUGCCUAGAGUAGUCAAAUUUGCAGCGACAGAAAGUAGGAGGGUAUUUGCCAGGGGCUGGGGUGGGGGAAGACCAAACGAGUUAUUGCUAGGCGGAUACAGAGUUUCAAUUCUGCAACAGGAAGUGGGUUCGGGACAUUCACAACAAUGUGGAUGUACUUGAGGCUACUGAACUGUGUACUUAAAAAUGGUCAAGUGGGUAGAUUUAAUGUUACGUAUUUUACCACAAUUUUUAAAAUUAGUAAAUUAAAAAGAAUUUCUUAACAGGAGUGUUGUGAGGGUCAAAUGGGAUACAGUCUGGCACAUGAACUGUAGGGAGUUAAGGGGUUAAUGGCCCAACUAUCUUAGGAUCUCCUUCAGACUUUGCACUUUAUUUAUUUUUUUAAAAUAUGAAAUUUAUUGUCAAAUUGGUUUCCAUACAACACCCAGUGCUCAUCCCAACAGGUGCCCUCCUCAAUGCCCAUCACCCACCCUCCUCUCCCUCCCACCCCCCCAUCAACCCUCAGUCUGUUCUCAGUUUUUAAGAGUCUCUUAUGCUUUGGCUCCCUCCCUCUCUAACCUCUUUUUUUUUUUUCUUCCCCUCCCCCACGGUCUUCUGUUAAGUUUCUCAGGAUCCACCUAAGAGUGAAAACAUAUAGUAUCUGUCUUUCUCUGCAUGACUCAUUUCACUUAGCAUAAUACUCUCCAGUUCCGUCCACAUUGCUACAAAUGGCCAGAUUUCAUUCUUUCUCAUUGCCCUGUAGUACUCCAUUGUGUAUAUAAACCACAAUUUCUUUAUCCAUUCAUCAGUUGAUGGACAUUUAGGCUCUUUCCAUAAUUUGGCUAUUGUUGAGAGUGCUGCUAUAAACAUUGGGGUACAAGUGCCCCUAUGCAUCAGCACUCCUGUAGCCCUUGGGUCAAUUCCUAGCACUGCUAUUGCUGGGUCAUAGGGUAGGUCUAUUUUUAAUUUUCUGAGGAACCUCCACACUGUUUUUCCAGAGUGGCUGCACCAGUUUGCAUUCCCACCAACAGUGCAAGAGGGUUCCCGUUUCUCCACAUCCUCUCCAGCAUCUAUAGUCCCCUGAUUUGUUCAUUUUAGCUACUCUGACCGGCGUGAGGCGGUAUCUGAGUGUGGUUUUGAUUUGUAUUUCCCUGAUGAGGAACAACGUUGAGCAUCUUUUCAUGUUGGCCAUCUGGUGUCUUCUUUGGAGAAGUGUCUAUUCCAGACUUUGCACUUUAAAAGGUUUCUAUACCUUUAGCCCUAAAGAAGUGAUGAGUACUACAAGACUUUUAUCCUGUGUGGCAGGCCACACAGAGAGGUUUAUUGUUGGUGGUAGUUUUUUUUUUUUUAAAAGCAGGGAAGACUUUGGGUGCAAUUGCCAACUUCAAAGCAGAUACCUCUUACCACCGACAGCCCACAGGCCCAGGGAGUGUUUGGAACUAGCCUCCAGGCAGGGUAGGGUUAGAACAGAGCCUUACGGGGUGAGGUCCCAUUUUUAUGUCUCUGCCAGACACUGGUGCCAGUUUGCUACCAGCUGCCGGCAUCUUUGAUGCUGCCAAUAAAAGGUUCAGGAAUGCUCACCAAGCCAGAAAUGCCAGGCCUCCACCCCGGUCAGCGCCCAACACAGCCAUCUGCACUAACUCUCUGAACUGUCUGCAGAGCAGGAACAACAGAUUCCAGGAGCGGAGCCCUGGUGUUUUGCAUAUUUAAUCUCCACAACAAUCUAAUAGGGUGAGUGUGGUGAUAUCCACGUUUUCGGUUGGAAAACUGAAGUUCAGAGAGGUAAAGUGACUUGCCCAAACUGGUGAGUGGAAGGAACUAGAUUCGGACGUAGGUCUGUCCGGGGCUGCUCUCCAUUUCAUCACGCUACGUUGGAACUGAACGGAUGACAGGCUGACAGACUGACUGACUGACAACUGUGGGGAUUGUGAUUUCCAAAUGCCUUUCACCGGAGGAUUUCAAAGCGGUUUUCAAGAAUUCAACAGUAAUUUGUUGAAUCUCUCCCCUGCAGACAUCACAGGGUACUGGAUUUGUACAGUCAGACAUAGUCAUCUUUGUCCUUAGGGAGCUGACAGCCCGUUGGGGAGCAAAAUGUGUGAUAAGAGCAAUAGCUCACAUAAGCUGACCUCCUGGGCUAGCUUUCACAGGAGCUGUUUUAUUUAAGCAUACCAAACUAAUAGCCUGUGAAAGAGAUACUAUCACAAGAAGUCCAUUUUUCAGAUGAGAGGAUAGGCUUAGGUGGGUGGAAAAACUUACCUAUGGUACUAGACCUCAUCACUGCUCACUGUGUUGUCCUCGGACCUUCCUGCUUGUCAGCGGUCUGCUAACAAAAGAAGCACAGAAAUAGCGUACCCGUGUUUUGCAGUAACUCGACAGAACAAUGUUAUGUUUGUUGAAUAUUCUCGUAUAUCGUUAUGCUCAUUUCUUUUACUUCAUCUCAUUUUUAACAAAUUCUAUUUUAUUUUACAAGAGUAUUGGUCUGCAGCAGAUCAGGGGUGGGGGCUAGGGGUGGAUCCCUGGUCCUUGGCCACAGAUAGAUAGCUGGGGAAGCAUUGACCCAGCUUGGGAUUUGACCUGGGAGUCUAACUUCAGAGCCCGUGCUUGUCCUCAGGGUGGAAAAACAGCUGCUGCCCCUCCAGGCACCCCACGUGCAUUCCAAGGAGGAAGACGGGAAGACAAAGGGCAACAGGGACAUGCCAGCUAAGCCACAUGCUUCCUUGGGGUUUGGCAGUCAUGCCAAGUUUGUUCCCUAACGCACAGCCUUUGUUCUCGGUAUUUUCUCUUCUGCCGAUAACCAAAUGGCUUGCCCCUUCAUUCCAUGCAGCUCUGCAUCAGAAUGUCACCUCCUAAGGGAAGAGGCAGUUUCUUCCCCUUGUCUAAAAUAGCGCCAUUGUCCUUUUCCUACUAAGCUCUGUGCCAUUCAGUGUAGCAGCCACUAACCGCUCGUGCCCGUCGGGCACUUGAAAUGUGGUCGGUCCAAAUUGAGGCGUGAUGGCCGUGUCACAUACACAGUGGAUUCAAAGACUUAGUUUGAGAGAAAAGAAUGUAAAAUAUCUCAUUAACAAAUUUUAUAUUUACUACCUGCUAAAAUGACAAUGUGAUGGGUAUGUUGCAUUACUUCAAAUAAAAUAUACCAUUGAAAUGAAUUUCACCCAUUUUUCUUUACUCUUUUAAAUGGGGCUACUAGGAAAUUUGAUGUGACUUUCAUUACAUUUCUGUUGGACAGAGCUAUUCUAGCCCCUGGCAUUGCUUUAUUCUCCCUCAUGAGAACGAUCACCACCAGACAUUGGAGGAUAUAUUUAUGUUUUAUUUAUCAUUAGCCUCUACCGUUGGAAUGUUAACUCCACAAUGUCAGGGACUUUAUUUCCUGUUCCCCACUGCCUAGAACCGUGCCUGGCAUAAAACAGGCAUUCCAAAACCUUUAGGAAUGGAUGAAUAAGUGAACAAAAUCAACCAGAGAGUCUCUCGGUAUCAUUCCGUAUGUCUGACAAUUCACUUAAAAAUAUGUUUUUGUAAAAACUGGGAUGCAUGUUUGCAUAUUAACUUUAAUCUCUACUACCCUCAAGGUAGUUAGACAAUAUUCAUAGUGCCCUACUUCACAAUCCAUACUCUAGAGAUUGCUUAAGCUUUUCAAAUAUAGAAACCUAUACCAGGUGCUCGUUAAUUAGCAUUAGAAAUGUCAAAAAUAAUUAUUUGUUGCCAAGUAAAGAGCAGUGCUCCAGGUAGCAUAGCUAGAGAGACCAUAAAGCUCAACUUGCUUGCAGAGAGCUAGAUAGAAAAAUCGGCAAAUUUGGUAGCAUUGUACCUCAGAGCAGUUCUCGAGGACCCGUGCCUCCCUCUUGGUGUAGGACUUUUAUGCUUGGUCCCUCUACCUGGUGGGUUGGAGAGGACCUUUCUACAGGAUGCAUAUGGGAUUUUCCCCCUCCUCUCUCUUACACUUAGGAACUGACCAUGGAUUUUGUGCCUAAAUUGCUAAUACAAGUCUGGCAGAAUUUGGUCCAAAAUGUGCUUUCAUAUGUAAUAGCACAUCCCCAGGUGGCAAGAUGAGUGGAAUGGGAUGUGUGCCCUCAUUCCCAUCCCAUCUUCUGUGAUAGCUGGAGGCUGCUGAUAUUUAGGAAAAGAAACUGGCAGUUGUUAAACCAAGAGACUGGCUUAGGCCUAUUAGUGAGAGACAGACUUUUCAUCCAGAUGCUGCUCCUUAGUUAUGAUUCAUCUUCAAGCUCUCCCUCCCUCCGAGUAACAGAGCCCUGACGCUGGCUCAGACAGUCUGCACUUUGGCUCAGUGUUUCUGGUCUCUUCCACACCUGUUACAACAAGCUACGGCCAGGGUGGCAGACAGCACCUCCACAGCGUCAGAGGUCAGGGCGAGUUGCUCAAUCUAAGAUAAAAUUUCAGAGACAACUGACAUUCUCACAGCCAGGCCUCUGGAAUUAGCUCUGGGCCUUUAUUCCCCCUUUCGGGGACAGAGAACUUCAGCUUGUAGAAACUCUGGUAGGCCCUACUUCAGAUCCCCAGCCCAGGGGCUACUGCCCUUGGCCAGCCCCGGGCAUUGCAGACAGGCGGUUUGUCCACACACAUACCAAGCAUCUUCUGUGGGCUGAAGAAACAUGUUUCUCACAUGCAUACACAACAUUUUCUAUGCUGAUAGACAAAUAAAAUUCAUUUUGCUUGUGUUGCCACCUUCACAGAAACUUGGUGUCCAUAUCUGAAUCCAUAGAUCCUAAAGACGCAAAUGCUCUCCCUCAGGGUCACCAUACUUAGAGGCUGGAUAUAAUAAGCAGAGCUUAUUAUAAAUUUCUGAGCUGGAAGAAAGUCCAGAGAGCACCAGGAUCAGUGACUUUCAAAUUCUGGGAGGCCAACAUCUUCUUUUUCUAACUAAAAUGCAAUUUUAAAAAGAGAGACAGUGAUAAAACCCCAGAGGUCUCCUUACACAAGCAUGCACACAGCGGCUGGCUCACCCCAAGCCUACCCUGGCAGGUCUGAGCUGAUCCGCUUCUCAGUCACUUGUGUUCCACACACGGCUCCAAGCCCUGGACCUCUUCAGCCUGGGCCUCACCACCCCUCCUUCUGGAGGGGUCGUCUAUUCAUUCUGUUAUCCAACAAACAUUUACGCUCACCUACUGUGUGCCAGGCCCUGAGAAGAGAUUGGUACGUGAGCCUGCAAGGUUGGUCACACAAGUGCACGGUGGUAGUGUGGCGGGGAAGGCCACACAACUAGAAGUGGAGCCUGUGCCCCUCAAGGGGGCUGGGGAAAGCUUUCUGCAGGAAAUGAUGUCUUGGGUGACCCCAGAAGGUAAGCGGGUAGAGAAAAGGGUGGGACCAGGGUCAGAAAGAUGGUGAAUUCCUGGCUAGGGAAUCUCGCACAGAGGGAAAAAUUACAACUAGCCCACGUGACAAAGAUCUAAGUGCUUCUGCAGGUAUACGGUUGUCUAAGGUAGGUGCUGUCAUUUGCCCUAUCGUGCAGGUGAGAAAACUAAGGCACGGAGCAGUUAAAUAACUUGCUCAAGGCCACAGAUCUAGAAAGUGGUAUAGCCAGGAUUUGGGUCCAGAUUGUCUACAACCAGAGUCUUUGUGCGUAACCACUGUGCUGUGCUGCCUGAGAUAUCAGAAAAGCAGAAAAACCCAACUUGACCAGAUUCCUUUUGAUGUGGCUGGCUCAGAGGUAUGGCUGAGGAGGUAGGAGAUCUCCUUACACAUGCCAACUUUGUUCAUGGCGCUGAGGAGUCUGGGCUUGUUGAAGGGUUUUACACAGAGAUGUAAAAUGAACAGAUUUCACUAAAUUUUCUGCUACCAAGCCAGAUUCUUAUGAGAUCACCCACACUACUCUCAUAAUUUCCCACCUCCUUGUUCACCUCAGUCACCUCCAGAAGGUCAAGGCCCACUCUUAAGUCACCCACUGUCACCCCAACCCUUAGCUCCAUGGUGCUCUGCACAUCUAUUAACCUGACCAAGCGUCACCCUGCCCACAUUUUCAGCAGCCUCCCAGCCAAUAUCUUUACCCCUUCUUAGAAUGUUCCCCUGAACUCUUGCCCUGACUAGUGCCUGAAUUUGUCCUAGAAGUUUUGCUUCCAUUGUUGCUACUUGAAAGUAGGUUGGCGUUUUCCCCUUCACACCCUGCCCAUGCCACACAACCAGGAGACGGGAUGGGUGUGUACCUUGCUUCCUAUGGCCACUUCCAAACGAUUUUACUUCCUUUCCCUUCCACUCUCUUCCUUGGAAGUUCAUUUCAUCAGACCUCCCCCUCGCUUCUGGGUCGCUGCCCUCUCCUGUCCACUCUGUCUCACCCCUUCCACUGAUGACCUAUAGCAUAUUCUCAUUCCCUUGCAUCACCAUCAUGCUUGGUCACUUCAUAACACAGAGGGCCAUCCAUCUGAUACCCAGGCUGCUCAACCGUCACCCCUCUCACGCUAAAGGCACCUUCCUCCAUCCUACCUAGCUCUCCUCCUCCUUGGUCAUAUCAAGUUGUAAACUGCACUAAAUGCACCGCCUCUGAAACUUCAACUUCAAAUGUCCUAGCCUCUAUGUUCCCAGCUCACUUUCUCUGGUCCAGUAAAUUUUCAACCUGUGGAGACCUCCAGUGAUUCUUAAUCCUACCACUUUGUCGUCAGGCCUCACAAUCCCCACUCACCUUGGAUUCACAUGGACUCACAGUUCUUUCCUAUAGUCUAGACUCCCUCCACCAAGCUCACCUGCCAAGCUCCAACUUUCCAUCACUCGCCUGCACUUGAGCCUCUACCUGUUCUCACUGAAGCCGCUGAUGAUGAGGAUGGGAUUCCUUUUAUAUCUAUGGUGCAAAUCUCCAGUGGGCAAUCUCCACCAACUGGCAAACACUUCUCUAGUAUCUUCACUUCCCACCCUCUCCGGAACUAUUGUUCACAUCUCCUUUCUCCUCAAAAUUCCUACACCACUCCUUCCCUCGCUCAGUGGAUGGCCUUGACUUGUAGUUCACUGAGACAAAAGAGAAACGAUCACAUAGAGACUGCCACACCUUCUCUCUGACAAAACUUCCAACUUAACCCAGCCUGUGCCCGCAUUCCUCCUCUUUCUGUAGAGGGCAUGUCCUGCUCAGGUCAGCCCCAGCCCCAGCCCCUCUUCAUGCCCAGAUGGAAUCCCCUCUUGCCUUGUUUUGGACAGUGCUUCUCUAGGUAUCUGUCUUUCCUGCAUCAAUUUCUUCCUUUCCACUGGAUCGUUCCAUUUGUCCUCCUUCCCUUUCCAUAGAGGGUCAAAAAUCAAGGCUCUCAAAAAUGAAACCAAAACAAACUUCUUAGCCCCACGUUCCCCUAAGGCUAUUGGUCUACAGGUCUACUCUCCACCACUACAAAACAUCUUAGAAGUGGUUAUCUACUGCAGCUGUCUGCCCUUCCCUCUUCUCUUCCCCACCCACACCUUCUGAGCUUCUGCCUCCCCAUUUUGUUAAGACGGCUCUUGGCAAAGUGGCUACUGACCUUCAGAUGACGAACCCAAUGGUCUCUUUGCUGUGCUUACUAGAACUGUGCAAUAGCAUUGCACUCAGCUAACCAGACUCUCCUUUCCAAAAGACUUUUUUUUUCUUUCUUUCUUUUGGUUUCUGUGACACCAAACUCCCCUGGUUUUACCACUACCUCACUGGCAGCUCCUUCGUCAUUUCCUUUGCUGGAGUCCUCCUCUUUGACUUCAAAUAUUAGAGGUCUUUUCUAUAUUCUUUCUCCCCCUUGGUGAUCUAAUUCAAUCCCACAGCUCAUGUACCAAUUUAAGGCUAUGUUUCUUGAAUCUAAAUCUCCAGCUGUGCACUUCUCGGCAGAUUUCGAGACUUAACAUCUCCAACCACUUCCUGACACCUUCAUGAGGGGAACAAAUAGACCUUUCGAAUGUAAUGUGGUCAUAGCCCUGCUUUUCCUUUCCCUGUCACCCUGAACUUCAUCGGGCUUCCCAAACCUGGUCAAUGACACCGCCACCCACUUAGUUGUUCAAACAAAAAAAAAACCCCUAGGAUUAUCUUGAUUUCCUCCUCUCCUUUGUCCCCAUCAGCUAUUGCUCUUUGCUUUCUCUUCCAAAAUACUCCCGGUAUUCAUCCGCUUCUCGCCUCCUCUGCUAUUGCCACCCCCAAGUCCCAGCAUCUUUCAGCUUGACUCCUGCCAAAAAGCUCCUACUCAGACUCUCUGAUUCCUCUCCUGCCCCUUCCCCGAUGAUCCAUUCUUCACACCCCUGUCAGAAUGACCUUUUUGAAAAGUAAAGCAUAAUAUGUCACUUAAAUCGUCCAAAAUGAUCUCAGCUGACUUGGAAUAAAAUCCACACUUCUUGUCCCAGCUCACAGAGUCCUUCAGGACCUGUUCUCUGCCUACUCUCCCUCUUGUUAGCUCUGCACCACUCAGCGACCUUUUUGGUGCUUCGGAUUCAAAAGGUUGUUCCAGCCUUGGGACCCUAGCUUUGUCUCCACUCUGCCUAGAAUGCUCUUUCUCUAGAUGUUUGCAUGCAUGGAUCCUUCUCAAGCAUCAGCUGAAGCACAGCAUCCUCAGAGAGGCCUUUCCUCAUCAUCCAACCUAAAGAAUCACUCCACUACCAUCACCACCACAUACACAUGUGAUCACACUCUCUUGUUAUAUUUUCUUCAAAACUGGUGAAGAAAAAAUACCACCUGGCAUUUUCAUAUUUAUUUGUUUGCUUAUUUAGUGUCUGUCUGCCUCCUUCCCCUAUACCUUUGCAACCCGUACACAUACACUCUAGACUGUAAUCUAUGCUUUUUCCUGUUCGCCAGCCUAGAAGAGUAACUGAUACUCAAAAACAUACUGGAUGAAUUAGAAACUAUGGAUUCUACAUUCCAAAGUCUAGAAUCUGUCCCUAUAGCUAGAUGUAUUGUGAGAGCAAGCAUGAGCAAUCAAGAGAAAGAUUUUCAGAUGAAAUAUAAAAAGGCCUUUCAAAUAAUUAGAACUAUAAAUGGAUUGAGCUCUUCUAAAUUUUUAAUGUUUAUUUAUUUUUGAGAGAGAGAGACAGCGUGAGCAGAGGAGGGGCAGAGAAAGAGGGAGCCACAGAAUAAAAAAAAAUUUUUUUUUAAUGUUUGGAUUGAGCUCUUCUAGAAAGAGGGAAAGGCUCAAGGAACUAUUAUGCAGUACCUUUAUUAUUUAGUACCUAUUUAGUCUCAUUCUCACAACAACCCUGCAAGGAAGGUAUGUAUCAUUAUGUACCCCAUUUACUUAUGGAGAAACAGGUUCAAAGGUGUUAAGUAACUGGCCCAGGGUCACACAGUAGGAAGCAGGAUCUGAAUUAGGGAUGUUUAUUCCAGAUCCCAUGCUUUUAACCGCCACACUAACCUGGCCCCCCUACUUUGCUCCUCAAGCCUCAGGGUCCUCAACUGUAAAAUGAUGGCAAGGACAUGCUUCAGAGGCUGUCACGAGAAUUGCAGGAGAUAAUGCACUUAGAAGAGCUUAGCCAGUGUCUUGCACACAAAGUGUACCUAUUACCUGUCCAUUACUAGUAGUAUCAGUAUUGCCCAGUAUCACAGUUAGUGAAUGGGAGAGCUAAGACAUGAAAACAGGCCUGGCCAACUCCAGAGCCUAUGAUUUUCCCAUGGAGUUGGGUGGGAACUAGGCAGAUGUGCUAUAGAAGGAAAGGUACUCAAGGACAGAUGAUCCUCACAGUCCCUCCUGACUGAGAGGGUAUAGUCCCUGCCUUUAUCUUUAUGGGCCAACAGUAAUCAGAGUUAGGCUGGAUAGGGAAGGUGGUCCUUCAUCCCGCUCUAUUUCUGAGUGGCCACGGCAUGAUGGAAGCCCAGGCAAGGUCACUUAGCGUGAUGCUCAUUAGUCAAACCAAGAUGAGUGUGCAUACCUCCCCAUACUGCCUAGGGUGAACAGGCAAGUCCCUUCAUCUCCUGAGGCUGUGGUUCCUUCAUCUACAAAAUGGGGAUAAUAACGGGACUUACUCUCAAACAUGGUACGGAUUAAAGGUGUUAAUACAUAUAUACUACCUAUUACUGUGUCUACAGAGCCUUGCAAAGGCUAAGAGGGCCUUCUCUAAGUAGCGGUUAUGGUAAUUAUUCUUACCUGGGAAUCCAGGGUGAGCAGUGCAUUGUUUAAGGACCCAGGGAAGCCAUGUUUGUGUAGAAUUCACUUCCUAUUGUUGGACCUGUUGGAUUUGUAAUCAGCAGAUUAGAAUGUGCUCACGUUGUAUGAGGGCCAGGAUGUGAGAGGGGACUGAUCCCUGUGCAGAACACAUAAUGAGGCAAACAAGUUAUACUGUUCCUGUUUUUGAGCUGCAGGGAAAGACCAAGGGCUAUUUUUAGUCAUGGAAGGUUUGGGUUCUGGGGAGGGCACCAGGCCGUGUUUGUUACAUUACGUUUUAACAUAACACAGAGUAAGCUGGCUGAAGGGAACUGUUUCAGGUUGUUUUUAUUAAUCAAAGAGUGUUGUUUUUAUUCCAAGUUGAGAUGUUCAGACUUAACAGGCAGCAAGCAAACACUACCCGAUACACACAGAUUUAUCCUAAUAAAAAUAAAUCCUUUGUUCUGUCAAGUUUCCAUGAGCUAUCCUAAAAACAGGAAAGAAAUGUCAUAAAUAUAGCAUUGCCUUCACUUGAGUAAGUUGCUCUUUCAGAGCAAAAAUAUUUUGUGAUUAUAUUAUUGUAUAUCUCACACAAGUGAACUGUGGAAGAACGUUUUCUGAUUCAAAAACAAAAUGCAAGCAAAACCUACACAGAGCAUUUUUUUUUUUUUAGCUCUUUCAGGUGCAGACAAGACACUUAAAUUUCUCCUGAGAUGGCAGCAAGCACAAAAUGUCAACGAUGGGGAAUGACAGUAGAAGAUCCAGCCACGCAAAAAGGAAAGAAAAAAAAAUCUGGGAGAUCAUUCCAGGAGGGACUUGUCAGAGCAGACAUCCUAAGG